GAUGAACGCUGGCGGUGUGCCUAAUACAUGCAAGUCGAGCGAACAGACGAGGAGCUUACUCCUCUGACGUUAGCGGCGGACGGGUGAGUAACACGUGGAUAACCUACCUAUAAGACUGGGAUAACUUCGGGAAACCGGAGCUAAUACCGGAUAACAUGUUGAACCGCAUGGUUCAACAGUGAAAGACGGUCUUGCUGUCACUUAUAGAUGGAUCCGCGUCGCAUUAGCUAGUUGGUAAGGUAACGGCUUACCAAGGCAACGAUGCGUAGCCGACCUGAGAGGGUGAUCGGCCACACUGGAACUGAGACACGGUCCAGAAUCCUACGGGAGGCAGCAGUAGGGAAUCUUCCGCAAUGGGCGAAAGCCUGACGGAGCAACGCCGCGUGAGUGAAGAAGGUCUUCGGAUCGUAAAACUCUGUUAUUAGGGAAGAACAAAUGUGUAAGUAACUAUGCACGUCUUGACGGUACCUAAUCAGAAAGCCACGGCUAACUACGUG
rnacentral:rRNA from 1 species